rnacentral:rRNA from 1 species
CUACGUGCCAGCAGCCGCGGUAAUACGGAGGGUGCAAGCGUUAAUCGGAAUUACUGGGCGUAAAGCGCACGCAGGCGGUUUGUUAAGUCAGAUGUGAAAUCCCCGGGCUCAACCUGGGAACUGCAUUUGAAACUGGCAAGCUAGAGUCUCGUAGAGGGGGGUAGAAUUCCAGGUGUAGCGGUGAAAUGCGUAGAGAUCUGGAGGAAUACCGAUGGCGAAGGCAGCCUCCUGGGAUAACACUGACGUUCAUGCUCGAAAGCGUGGGUAGCAAACAGGAUUAGAUACCCUGGUAGUCCACGCCCUAAACGAUGUCAAUUAGCUGUUGGGCAACUUGAUUGCUUAGUAGCGUAGCUAACGCGUGAAAUUGACCGCCUGGGGAGUACGGUCGCAAGAUUAAAACUCAAAGGAAUUGACGGGGACCCGCACAAGCGGUGGAUGAUGUGGAUUAAUUCGAUGCAACGCGAAGAACCUUACCUGGUCUUGACAU